rnacentral:rRNA from 2 species
CAGCAGUAGGGAAUCUUCCACAAUGGACGCAAGUCUGAUGGAGCAACGCCGCGUGAGUGAAGAAGGCUUUCGGGUCGUAAAACUCUGUUGUUGGAGAAGAAUGGUCGGCAGAGUAACUGUUGUCGGCGUGACGGUAUCCAACCAGAAAGCCACGGCUAACUACGUGCCAGCAGCCGCGGUAAUACGUAGGUGGCAAGCGUUAUCCGGAUUUAUUGGGCGUAAAGCGAGCGCAGGCGGUUUUUUAAGUCUGAUGUGAAAGCCCUCGGCUUAACCGAGGAAGUGCAUCGGAAACUGGGAAACUUGAGUGCAGAAGAGGACAGUGGAACUAAAUGUGUAGCGGUGAAAUGCGUAGAUAUAUGGAAGAACACCAGUGGCGAAGGCGGCUGUCUGGUCUGUAACUGACGCUGAGGCUCGAAAGCAUGGGUAGCGAACAGGAUUAGAUACCCUGGUAGUCCAUGCCGUAAACGAUGAAUGCUAGGUGUUGGAGGGUUUCCGCCCUUCAGUGCCGCAGCUAACGCAUUAAGCAUUCCGCCUGGGGAGUACGACCGCAAGGUUGAAACUCAAAGGAAUUGACGGGGGCCCGCACAAGCGGUGGAGCAUGUGGUUUAAUUCGAAGCAACGCGAAGAACCUUACCAGGUCUUGACAUCUUUUGAUCACCUGAGAGAUCAGGUUUCCCCUUCGGGGGCAAAAUGACAGGUGGUGCAUGGUUGUCGUCAGCUCGUGUCGUGAGAUGUUGGGUUAAGUCCCGCAACGAGCGCAACCCUUAUGACUAGUUGCCAGCAUUUAGUUGGGCACUCUAGUAAGACUGCCGGUGACAAACCGGAGGAAGGUGGGGAUGACGUCAAAUCAUCAUGCCCCUUAUGACCUGGGCUACACACGUGCUACAAUGGAUGGUACAACGAGUUGCGAGACCGCGAGGUCAAGCUAAUCUCUUAAAGCCAUUCUCAGUUCGGACUGUAGGCUGCAACUCGCCUACACGAAGUCGGAAUCGCUAGUAAUCGCGGAUCAGCACGCCGCGGUGAAUACGUUCCCGGGCCUUGUACACACCGCCCGU